GUUUUUAUGGGGUAGUGGUUAUCCCCUGAGAUUUUGAAUGCUCUACUUGUUUGUUCCAGACGAGCUGACUCUUAGAUUCUCAUGACCCCGGUUCAAGUCCGGGUAACC